CCUACGGGAGGCAGCAGUGAGGAAUAUUGGUCAAUGGACGAGAGUCUGAACCAGCCAAGCAGCGUGAAGGAGGACUGUCCUGUGGGUUGUAAACCUCUUUUAUAUGGGAACAAAGCAUGGGACGCGUACCCUGUUGUGUGUACCUUAUGAAUAAGGAUCGGCUAACUCCGUGCCAGCAGCCGCGGUAAUACGGAGGAUCCGAGCGUUAUCCGGAUUUAUUGGGUUUAAAGGGAGCGUAGGUGGUUUGUUAAGUCAGUUGUGAAAGUUCGGGGCUCAACCGUAAAAUUGCAGUUGAAACUGGCAGUCUCGAGUACAGUAGAGGUGGGCGGAAUGCGUGGUGUAGCGGUGAAAUGCUUAGAUAUCACGAAGAACUCCGAUUGCGAAGGCAGCUCACUGGACUGACACUGACACUGAUGCUCGAAAGUGUGGGUAUCAAACAGGAUUAGAUACCCCUGUAGUC
rnacentral:rRNA from 1 species